rnacentral:rRNA from 1 species
UACGAAGGGGGCUAGCGUUGCUCGGAAUUACUGGGCGUAAAGGGCGCGUAGGCGGCCUGUUAAGUCGAACGUGAAAUCCCCGGGCUCAACCCGGGAACUGCGUCCGAUACUGGCAGGCUUGAAUCCGGGAGAGGGAUGCGGAAUUCCUGGUGUAGCGGUGAAAUGCGCAGAUAUCAGGAGGAACACCGGUGGCGAAGGCGGGUCUCUGGGCCGAAACUGACGCUGAGGAGCGAAAGCGUGGGGAGCAAACAGG